GAUGAAGAACGCAGCGAAAUGCGAUAAGUAAUGUGAAUUGCAGAAUUCCGUGAAUCAUCGAAUCUUUGAACGCACAUUGCGCCCCCUGGCAUUCCGGGGGGCAUGCCUGUCCGAGCGUCAUUACAACCCUCAAGCUCAGCUUGGUGUUGGGCCCCGCCGCCCCGGCGGGCCCUAAAGUCAGUGGCGGUGCCGUCCGGCUCCGAGCGUAGUAAUUCUUCUCGCUCUGGAGGUCCGGUCGCGUGCUCGCCAGCAACCCCCAAUUUUUUUCAGGUUGACCUCGGAUCAGGUAUGGAUACCCGCUGAACUUAAGCAUAUCAAUAAGCGGAGGA
rnacentral:misc_RNA from 1 species